rnacentral:rRNA from 1 species
GACGAACGCUGGCGGCGUGCCUAAUACAUGCAAGUAGAACGCUGAAGGAAGGAGCUUGCUCUUUCUGGAUGAGUUGCGAACGGGUGAGUAACGCGUAGGUAACCUGCCUGGUAGCGGGGGAUAACUAUUGGAAACGAUAGCUAAUACCGCAUAAAAUUGAUUAUUGCAUGAUAGUCAAUUAAAAGGUGCAACUGCACCACUACCAGAUUGACCUGCGUUGGAUUAGCUAGUUGGUGGGGUAACGGCUCACCCAGGCGACGAUACAUAGCCGACCUGAGAGGGUGAUCGGCCACACUGGGACUGAGACACGGCCCAGACUCCUACGGGAGGCAGCAGUAGGGAAUCUUCGGCAAUGGACGGAAGUCUGACCGAGCAACGCCGCGUGAGUGAAGAAGGGUUUCGGAUCGUAAAGCUCUGUUGUAAGAGAAGAACGAGUGUGAGAGUGGAAAGUUCACACUGUGACGGUAUCUUACCAGAAAGGGACGGCUAACUACGUG